CCGGCCGGGAAGCCAGCUGUAUAAAGGCACCUGGCACCCGCUGCUCCCCGUCCCAGCUGGUAGAUGCCCCACGAUGAGGCCGCUCCUGGUGUUUCUGCUUCUGGCUGCUCUGUGCACUGACCUGGCCAAGCCCAGCGGCAUCCUGGUCAUGAAGUCCUGCACCCCGACGUGCCCCAACAGCACUGUGUCCUCGGAUGGCUGCUCCGUCUCCGUCUCCUGCUGCCAGGGCAACCAGUGCAACCACAGUGGAGCUGCGAGCCUGGCUGGUGGCCAUGGAGCCCUGUGGGUCGGCGCGUCCGUCAGCCUGCUGUGGGCGCUGCUCCGGGCGGCCUGGUGAGCGCAGCUACCACGGGCCAGCCCUGGAUCUGGCCUGUCCCCUCCCAGCCUGGACUCAGGCUGCGGGGGUCUGUCUCCAGCCUGCAAAGCUCCCAGCACAGCCCCAGCCUGGCAGGAAGAGCCCUGUCUCACUUGUCACUCCUCUCUGCUUCCCCCAGGCCACAUCCGCGCCCUCAGCCUCCUACCCCAGGGAGGGACGCUCCCCACCUGCCUCAGGGAACCCACCAAUGUGGAAAGCCAGGGGGGCAUGUCUCCCCCAGGCCUGUACCUCCGAGGGACCCUCAGCUGUCUCCUGGGGUCCUGGGGUCCCCCCGGCCAUCCGGGAGUAGGAAGAGCACUCCAAUUCUCCCCAGCACCCUCCACCCCUUUUCAGGGCCUUCUGCCAGGGAGGCCUUCCCAUCAAGCCCUGCCUCGAAGGAGACCCCUGUGCCCCAUGGCCACGGGGCCCCUGGGCCUCCUCCUGUGCCUGGAGCCGCCCGUGCAGGAGGAGGCGGGUUGAGGGUUUGGGUGUUGGGUCUCCCAGGCUUUCUAUUCACUCCACCAACCACUCCUGUGCUCCCUCAUUCAUUCAUUCAUUCAUUCAUCCGUUGGCCCAUCCACUUAUUCCCUCCUUCACUCAUAUUCAUUCAUCACAAACCCAUGGGGCUUCCUUGGAGCCAGGUGCCCCUUGGAGCCAGGACCUGCCUCCCAGGCUGUCACUCAGGGGCUCAGUGUGUGACCAGUGCCCGAAGUCCAGGGAUGGGACAGGGAGUCCAGAAGGCCACCAGCACCCCUGCCACCCCCUGCCAGCUGAAGGCAGGCCUUUCCAAUGGACCCCUGGCUGCUUGCUGCAGGGUGGACCAAGUCACCUAGGGGACCAGUGUCGGGUGUCGGGAUUGGAGGGGGGUGUCCAUUCUCACAAGGCAUGGGUGCCAUCCUACCUCCCCCAGGGGCACCCUCUGCCAGCCCACCUCCCAGGAUCUCUGAGAGGAGAAUAAAGCUGCACGUCCUCCUUGUCCUCAUUCUCUGAGAUGUCGAAUCUGUGGGGUUUUCCUGUCCUGGUCCUCCUGAGUGGAAGCUCCCUGGACCCCAGGGGCAGGCAGGGGCACUGUGCAGAGUGGGGUGGAGCUCUCAGCGCACAAGCUUGGGUGGAGGGGAGCCUGCUUUCCUCUUGGCUGAGAAGCCAGCAUCUAUUCCAACCUCCUGGCCAGGGUGGCAGAAACAUGCUUUCAGUAAAUCCCAAGUUGGGGGCUCACAGGGGUCCUCUGAGGAGUCCCUCUGAGCCUUGGUGUCGCCCAGCAUAUGUGCUCAGCCCCACAAUGCGUCCCAGCACCCCCCACUGUCCUGCAUGCCCAUUGGGGCACAGACUGGCGCCAGGGCUCUUCCUGGGGGGCAAGACCAGAGGCCCCUCAACUCUCCAGGAGCUUUCCUCCCUGCACCUCUGCCUGGGGCCCCUCCGCAGUAACCCACCCAGGUCCUCGCGCCCAUGGCACCCAC
rnacentral:lncRNA from 1 species